rnacentral:tRNA from 1 species
UGACCAGUCGUCCAAUGGUGAGGAUACUUGAGUUUGAGUCAAGUGAUGUAGGUUCGAAUCCUGCCUGGUUAG